rnacentral:rRNA from 1 species
AUUGAACGCUGGCGGCAGGCCUAACACAUGCAAGUCGAGCGAGCGGCGCACGGGUGGGCAAUGUCUGGGAAACCGCGCGAUGUAGGGGGAUAACGACUGGAAACGCUAUCUAAUACCGCAUACCAUCAGAUGUGCGCAGAUGGGAGUAGCUAGUAGGUGGGGUAACGGCUCACCGAGGCGACGAUCCCUAGCUGGUCUGAGAGGAUGACCAGCCACACUGGAAACGAGACACGGUCCAGACUACACCGGGCGGCAGGAGUGCAGCAUAUGGCACAAUGGGGGCACGGAUGAUGUGGCCAUGCCGCGAGUAUGAAGAAGGCAUACGGGAUGUAGAGUACUUGGCGCGCGGGAGCGUUACCCGCCGAAAAAACACCGGCUAACUCCGUGCCGGCAGCCGCGGUAAUAC